rnacentral:lncRNA from 1 species
CUGUGGCAGCUGCUUCAGUACGUAGUGCCUUGGCUAUUACAGGAUUAAUCCUGGGAGUAUAAGAUAACGAUGAGUGGUUGGUGGUGUUAUUGUUGGUCAGGUUUUGCACUCAAAAGGUAGAUGGGGAGACAAUGGAAGACUGUGGUGGAAUAAAGCGAAGCAAAUGGAAGCGUUGAUUGUAGAACCCAAGUUUUAAGAGGCCCAUUCGGUUAACGUUUCCGAAUUUGACUUGUUUAGCUUACAUAAUCACAAUAUCUGUCGUCUUCAAAGAGGCGUAGAGAUAAUUAGAUGCCGGCUCUUUUAAGAAACUGACCCGAAAUUUUUUACUUAUUUAUGAAAAUGACUUGCAAAAAUUAAAAUUUUAAGGUGCCGCAGUCAAUUGUUGACUUAUUUACGUCCUCACUCUACAUAGCUGGCCUUAUUUCGUCUAUCUUGGCAUUGCCGGUGACCGGAGCCUUUGGCCGCAAGCCCUCCAUCUUUAUAGGAGGAGCUACAUUCCUGGCUGGUUCAGCACUUGGUGGUGCGGCUGUUAACGUCUACAUGUUGAUACUCGGUCGUGUCUUGCUAGGCGUUGGGGUUGGGGUUGGGGUUGGAUUUGCGAACCAGGAAUGCACAAUAGUUAUAUUUGCUGUUUAAUUAUGGUUUUAGUCCCUCCAUUAUGCUUAAAUUUUGUGAUUUAAUUUGGCAUAAUUUUGAGGAUGAAACUAGAAAUUUUGUAUUAGGAGGUUGAGAUAAAAUUAUAAGCUUUUGGAGAGGUCAAGAAUAUAGGGGAUUAAUGGGAAUUUCCUAAAAAAUAUCAGUCUAAUUAAAAUAUUAAAGAACUUUUUUUUUGAAAAAUUUAAAGGUUUUAAAUGAAAUUUUCAAACAUUUUAAAAGACUCAAUGACAAUUUUCCAAAUCUUUUACAAGGCCAAGACCUCCUUUGACUCGUUCAACCCCUGAGGCUUAUAAUACAAUUUCUUAAUUUAAAGCAAGGAGGCCAAAGCAUCUUCCCUUUUGGAUCCCUCUCUUCAUAUUUCGGUCCUCUACUUUUAUGGUAUUAUUAGUUUGUCUAAAUUGACAAUAGGAUUAGUUGUUUUCAUUAAAGUGAAAAUUACAUCUAUUUUUUUGGUUUUAUCAUGAAAAAUUCAUUAAAUAUUUUUAACUAACAAUAAAUUUAUGUCUAUCAAAUGCUUAAGAUUGUUCAAAAAAUUCGUGUACACCUAAGUCAAAUUAGAGUAGAGAGAUUAAAUCUCAACUUUUAACAUUAUAGAGGGACCAAAACCAUAAUUAGACCUUCUCUUUGAAUUUGCAUAUAUUUAGGGACCUAAUUGUGUUUUUGCUUUGUUGCAUUUGGUUUACAGCCAGUCCCAUUAUAUGUCUCUGAAAUGGCACUUCCCAGACAUGGAGGAGCAAUGAACAUUGGCUUCCAAUGAGGUGUUUGUCUCGAUGUUCUUUCGGCUAACAUUAUAAACUUCGGCACCUAAAAGAUCAAAGGUGGAUGGAGUUGGCGAAUCUCCCUCACACUUGCCGCAUUACCGGCCUCAAUCCUAACAAUUGGAACAAUCUUCCUCCUCGAAACACCCAACAACUUAAUCCAAAACAACAAUAAUCCUGAGAAGGCCAAAAUCGUGUUGCAAUGUAUACGUGACACCAUCAAUGCCCAAGAAGAACUAGAUGAUCUCAUCAAAGCAAGCUCGAUUUCGUAAAUCAUCAACCACACAUUUCAGAAAAUUAUAGAUAGAAAAUAUAGGUCUCAAUUGGCAAUGGCAAUAGCUAUACCAUUUUCCAACAAGUAAUAUUAGGCAUAAAUGUCAUCACAUUUUAUACACCAAUUUUAUUUAGGAUCAUCUGGCCAAGGUGAAAGUGCUUCACUCAUGCCCGCAGCUGUGGCUGGCCUUGUUGGUACCAUCGCAACAUUCAUAUAAGCAAUCGUGGUCGAAAAACUCGGUCGAAAGGCCUUGUUUAUAAUAGGAGGAAUUCAAAUGUUUGCGACACAAAUAACAAUUGGAGUAAUUAUGAUUAUUUUGUUAGGGAUCAUGGCGGAUUAAGCAAAGGGUAUGCUUAUUUAGUUUUCGCUUUAAUUUGUGUACUUUUAAGAUGGUUAGUUCCUAGUAAAAAUUUCCCACUUGAGAUUAUAUAAGCAGGACAAAGCAUUGCAGUGGCAAUUGGAUUUCUCUUUACAUUCAUCAUUGCACAAGCUUUUCUAGCUAUGCUUUGCCGUUUUGAGUCCAAGAUUCUUCUUUUUCGGAGGAUGGGUUGUGGGCGUGGCAAUGACCGCAUUCGUGUACUUUUUGUUUCCGGAGACAACAAAUGUGUUGAUUGAACAAAUGGAAGAAGAAUGGAGGGAUCAUUGGUUUUGGAAAAUAAUUGUUGGAGAGGCGGAUGAUGAGAAGAAGGCUUACACACAACAAGGGACAUAAUGCAAAAAAAAAAAAAAAGCAAAAAAAAAAGAGGAAGUUUGCAUGACUUUAUAUACAAUGCAUGAUGGAAUUCGAUAAAAGAGUUGAAAAAAACUAUGUGAAGAGCUUUUUCUUAAAAAAAAUAUAGCAUACAAAAUAAAUGUUUUUCUUAAUGCUAUUAUUUUCUUUUGGUCUAAUUUUGUUUUUAGUCCCCCUCAUAAAAUGACAUAAUUGGAUUCCUUUUAGUAGCCUAAAAGAUGAGAUCCCUUCUCAAAAAAAUUAAAAUAAUUUAAUCCUUGUUAAUUUUGAAAGUGAGCAAAAAAUGACAAUUAAUCAAGACAUUAAUAUUUUGAUUGGUAUAAUAAUAAAUUUAGCCCUCAAAGUUUACAUUUUUUGCCAAUUUGGUCCUAAUUUAACAAAUUUGUUCCAUAACAUUUGUGUAAUUGUGUAAACAUUUAGGUUGAAUUUGUUGAAUUUAUAAGAAUUAAGGUCAUAUUGAAAAAAUAUGUAAAUAUUGAAGUCUAAAUUUAUUACCAUACCAACCAAAAUUAUUUACAAUCGACGAAAGACAUUAACGUAAUGCUUAAUUGUCCUAAUUGCUCACUUUUGAAAUUAACAAAGAAUAAAUUGUAUAAUUUUUUCGAGAAAGACCAAUUUACUCAAAUUUGAAGUUGAGAAGAAUUGGAGAGUUUCAUUACUGUAAUUUUAUUACUAGUUGACAACAGUUCACUGUGUAGUUCAUAUUGUGCGAUGGAAUAACAAUAAAAAAAAUCAUACCAUCAUUUUAGCGAUAACAACUAAUGGUAUUUUCAAUUUGGAUCUACUAAUAAUAUUUUAAAAAUAAAAAUAAAUAAAUUUAUGUCAAGUUAGAAUAAUUAAACUUCAAAUUUCUAUGUCGACCAAACCCGUGAUACAGUGAAGUCCUAACGUCACAAUUAAUCCUUUUCAUUUUCAACUAUAGUUUGUAGUGAAGUAACACUAAAUUUCUUAAAACUAAUGUGUAAAAUGAAAAACCUUGGGGAAGUGGUCCAUAAUUUCAUUAAAUUUGUCACUAUAUAAGCCACAAAUUAACAAGGGAAAAUGAGGGCAAAAAUGCACUAUUCUACUUGAUGUGCAUCUUAAUCUUAAGCAUCAAAAUAAUUCAAUGUUAGUCCAUGUCAUUUGAUCAUCUUUAUCAUAGUAUAUAUACUCCAUCAUAUCUUUAUUGUUUUAUUUUAAAACAUUAAAACUUCAAAUCUUAUUUUUAUGGAAAUUCUAAAAUCUGAAUCCAAACCAUUUAUACUUCAGAUAUAGGUUAAUUUCUAAAUAAGAAAAUUAUAAUGAAAUUAUAAAAACGACUAAAAAAUCAAGUUUAACUAUACUAACAAAAAAUUCUGUGGUAAAAGUAUUUUGAAGGCUCAUAUAUUAGGAGGUAGAUUGCAGUUUACCUUAAUUACUUGAAAAUGGAUAAAUUAAUCCAUAUAUAUUAGGUCAAAAAAAUAAAUUAGUCAUUGUAUUAAAAAUUUUGCCCAUUCUAUUGCUAAGCGAUGAACGUGUUAUUGUCUAAUUGCUUGAAUUAAUUCCACCAUGUAAAAAGUUGCAUCCACUCUGUCAAAAAUUUCAUCCAUUUUUUCUAUUAAAAAUUUCUUCUAUUUUGCUUGAAUUAGUUCCUCCACAUCAGCAUGAGAAACACAUGAUGCCCCACAUGCCAUUUUUUAAUUGUUUCAUCAACCAUGUCAACACCUAACAGUAGAAAUAAAUUUUAUAACAGAAAAUAAUUUACUCUUUAAUUUAACAGGGAUUAAUUUACCUUUUUUUCAGUAAAAAGAUCAAAAUGCAAUCCAUGAACUAGCAUAAAACCUUCAUGGUAACAACCACCUAUCUCCACCGAGACAAAGCCUACUACCCUUCCGACCAGUGAACAGGCCUUACUUCUGGAUUUGUGAACAUAGUAAGCAACCCAGUGUCCUUAGCAUUCAAGUCCAAUAAAUUAAUUUCCAUUGAGGUGCACAAAAUUUUGGAUAUUAUUUUUGUACCACUGAUUUUCUUUUAAUCCUAUUUUAACUUCAUCAUUGCAUAAAUCAUUGUGUAUAUAUAUGCAUGCUUAACUAAUAGCAAUAAUUUAUUCAAUUCUGGCUUCAAGCCUUCAACAUGCACUUCCAUAUAUAUAUAGAUCAAGUUCUUACAUAAUCCCACACGUUAUAGUUUUUUUUAUUUUUAUUUUUCUCAUGCAAUUGGUGUUCAAAGUCAACCGAGAUGCUUUCAUGGAAUCAGCACGACUGAUCCAGUUGUUCGGCGAUUCUCGAGAUCUGCAUGUGCCUGCGCUGCUUCUGACAAGGGGUACUUGUGAUUCACCCGAACCCGCAAUACGCCUGAUGCAACAUUAGCAAACACUUCCCCUGCAGUUUCCAGCAGCUCAUCCCGAGUUGACGUGUAUUGCAUCAUGGAAGGCCUAGUCAAGAACAAUGAUUUGGGUGCAAGUGCAGACAACGGAACCGGAUCUGGUGUACCGGAUGACUGCCCAAAGUUCACCAUAUAGCCACGGGGCUUUAAACAUGCCAACGAGCCCUAACAAAAUAUAAAACUUUUAGUAGAAUGCUACAAAGUUCAGUGAAGUUAUAUAAUUUUUCACCGUGGAUAUUGUAAACCUUUAAUGGCUUAACAUAAGAAUAGAUUCAACCUAAAAGUAAGAACGAGCAAAGUAGACAAUAAAGCAUCAGUAUCAGAACCGUGAUUACCUCAAAGGUAUCUUUCCCUACAGAAUCGUAGACAACUUCCACCCCCUUGCCACAUGUUAUCUCAUUGACACGGGAAACAAAAUCCUCUUCCUUAUAAAUUAUAGCAUGGUGACAUCCGUCUUCCUUUGCUUGAGCCGCCUUCUCUUUGGUCGAGACAGUUCCAAUGACAGUGGCACCAAGUGCAUUUGCCCAUUGGCAUAAUAAAGAUCCAACCCCACCAGCUGCAGCAUGAACAAGAACUGUGUGUCCGGAUUCGACCUAUAUUACAUGAUAUUGUGUUAAAACUUUUUGUUAAUACAAUUAUGACUCUUUUUCAACAUUUAAAUAAGAUUAAUUGACAGGAGUAAAUGUCAGGAUAAAGAGAAAAUAACCAAGCACCAAACCUAUAGUAUGAUUAAAGUUAUGAACAACUUGUAUCCAUGCAAUCUACCUUGAAGCAACGACGUACUAGAAACUGGGCAGUCAUACCCUUCAGCAUGAUGGAUGCAGCAGUAAUAGGGUCAACCGAAGGAGGAACUGGCACAACUUUGUCAGCUGGAAGAAUCUGCUCCUCGGCAUAUGAACCCAUAGGAUUACCAGCAUAAGCUACAAUAUCUCCAACUUUCCUGCCAGUCAGUCCAGGUCCCACGGCAGUCACCUCUCCAACAGCUUCCAUACCUGUAAUUAAAGAAUGGAAACAAAUGAUUUCUGUGAUAAUCAUUACUGGAGAAAACUCAUGCUAACAUAGUGAACACAUCCUUUUCCCAAUCCAUGGGGUUGGCUACUACAUGAUGAGAUGGAAGAGAAAGAAAAUCUAGAAAAUAAAUUCAGUGUUCCAUUUACUUCAGGACAUGCAAGGAAACAGAGUACUUACUGAAAAAGACCUUGAGAGAAUUACUUCAUUCAGAUUCUAAUGCAAGUUUAAUAUAGACUGCAUCGGACAUCUAAAGUUCCAUUGGUUAAAAUAGUCACAACACCUUCCUGAUCCGUAAAAGAGUCCAGGUUUAAAGAUUGAAUAUAUUUGAUUGUGCUGAUCAUUAUCUUAAAGACCUAAAAUACGGUUAGUAUGGUUAAGUAAGCCAAGUAAAUUAAAAUAUGAAAUGGAAAUAAGUAUCAACAAUCAACCAUAAAGAGUAAUUUAUAAACUUUUAUGCUACUCUUUUCAUCUCUUGCUAAAUGUUAACUCAACUAUUUUUUCCGGAACUUCGGUGCAAUCACAUUAAUUUGUUCAAAGAAAGUACCACUAAAAUUCAAGUGACAAGAGUCCAAGGCCUAGCAUUUAGACAAUACUCAAUGAGAAGGGACUAGAAAGACUUGCUGUAUAUCAACUAAUCUGCAAAACAUGUAUCAUAUCAGCCUGGAAUGUUCCGCAUUUCUCAUAAUGUAAAAAUUUGUUCUACUUUUAAACUUUCAAACAAAUCGAACCAACCUGGACUGAAGGGCAUGGUAGUAGCCUUAUAAACUCCUUUCCGAAAAUAGAUAUCGAUGAAAUUCACUCCAAUAGCUAUAUUUUUAAUACGUAUCUCACCCUCUUUGGGUUCCCCAAGUUCCACAUCCUCCCAUUUAAGGACCUAUAUAGCCAAUGCAAAGAAAUCAAUUCAAGCAAACCAUAGCCGUAAACAUUCCAAUCUAAGCUCCGUUUUAAAAUUCGCAGGAUGUAAACGACAUUCAUAACAAGAGUAUGAUCCUUCUUUAUCAAAAAAUUAACUUUCUAAAAAACCCAGAAUUAAUUCAAUCAAAAUUAAAUAAAAAAAGGCCAAAACAACAAAACCCAGAAUAAUUGUAUCAAAGUUGAAUAAAAAAGAAGGGCAAAACUGCAAGCAGCAAAGCAUGAAAACAACAAGAACACAUAUUUUUAAUUUCCCAAAAGAACUAUUCAAUCAAACUCAUAAAAAUUGUAAUAGCAAAGUGAUGAAGCAUUGGAAAGGGUAAGAAAAGACCUGAGAUCCACCAAAUUGAUGAACCCUGAUAGCUUUCACCAUUUUUAUGGGCUGUACUGUGGCAGAUGCUUCAGUACGCAGUGCCUUGGCUAUUACAGGAUUAAUCCUGGGAGUAUAAUAAGAUAACGAUGAGUGGUUGGUGGUGUUAUUGUUGGUCAGAUUUUGCACCCAAAAGGUAGAUGGGGAGACAUUGGAAGACUGUGGUGGAAUAAAGCGAAGCAAAUGGAAGCGUUGAUUGUAGAACCCAAGUUUUAAGAGGCUCAUUCAGUUUACGUUUCCGGAUUUGACUUGUUUAGCUUACAUAAUCUUAAAUAUCUAUCGUC